UUAAGCAUUCCAAGUAAUCUGUUCUGUGGUUAAUGACAGGUUAAAUUGAAUUGAUGCUUUCAUUAAUUAAGCAACAAGUUAGGCUGAAGUUGUUGCUCGAGUCGUUCAGUUUUUUGAAAGGAAUAUUGUUUAAUUUGAUACCUCAAGGUUAGUUUUGUAAAAAGAUGAAUUGAUAACUACUAAAUCUUCGCCAAACAGCUACAAAAAGGCUUUGAGAAUGAUGAAAUGUGCUGAUCAUUGUGUCUCGUUACAUUUGUUGACACUCCAGGGGAUUUUGCUUAUUUAAGAUCUGAAGAGCUGGCUUAAAGUUCCAAUCAUAACGGUUGUAACUAAUGAAGGUGGUUCAGGCAGAGCUCUUGCCAUCAAAUGUGGUUAAUGUUCAAAAUUUUACGUUACUAGAAAGAGAAGUCAUUUUGCGGCCUGGGGAAGUUGUUGAGCCGAAAGAUAAAUGUUUCUAGUUUGAGAGUUCAUCGCCAUCUUUGUUAGCCAGUCUGCAAGUUGAUUGGCUUCUCUGUAGCAAUGCUCAAACUUGAUACUAGCAAGAUGUAGAAUUGAAGAAGUAGCUUCUAUGAGCAAGAGGGAAUGGUCAGUAGGUUUGAAGGUAACCUUACUCUUUUUCUUUGGCAUCUUUUUUGUUUUCUUCCUUGUAAUUUUUUCCGUUUUUGUUCUCGACAACUUUAGAUGUAAAGACUAGGACUUGUUUGCCUUUGUCGUUGGUAUCAUGGCCAUUCUGUAAAUCUCAUCAUUACUAAGCUCUGUGUUGUUCUGUUCCUGUAGAUUAA